UACAGAGGUCUCAAGCGUUAUUCGGAUUCAUUGGGCGUAAAGGGUGCGUAGGUGGCGGGGUAAGUCAGGUGUGAAAUCUCGGGGCUCAACCCCGAAACUGCACUUGAUACUGCCUUGCUCGAGUACUGGAGAGGAGAUUGGAAUUUACGGUGUAGCAGUGAAAUGCGUAGAUAUCGUAAGGAAGACCAGUGGCGAAGGCGAAUCUCUGGACAGUUACUGACACUGAGGCACGAAGGCCAGGGGAGCAAACGGG
rnacentral:rRNA from 1 species